AAACAAGUACAUAUACAGUACGUGUGGUGACGUUGUGUACUCAACCACGACACGGCGUUGUACCCUGCUGUGACGAUUACACGACUAAAAUUUCUAACACCGUUCUUUGGCGUUCCUUUUAGUGGCUCCCUGUAACACCUUGUGCUGAUAGGGUGACCCCACAGUUAUCAGAAUACUGUAAUUCUUCAUGCCACAACAAUUUGUAAGGCACAAGAAUAUCCUGGAAUUCUGCAAAGUUUAACGCAGAAGCUGAUAAUCAUUUGAUCAAAGAAUUGAACUGAUUUGAAAAUGAGUGCUCCACCUCCUUACACCCCCCAAGCCGACCCGAAAGGAGGCUACCCAGCUCCAGGGGCCUACCCGCCUCAAAACGCUUGGCCUGCCCAAGGCGGCUAUCCACCACCUCAAGGCGGCUACCCACCACCUCAAGGCGGAUACCCACCGCCUCAAGGCGGAUACCCACCACCUCAAGGCGGAUACCCACCACCUCAAGGUGGCUACCCCGGGUACCCUGCAGGCACCCACCAGCCGCAGGUGCAGCAACCAGGUGGGCCUACCGUCAUCUUGGUGGACAACUCAGCGGCUCAGAGGCGGCAGGAUCAGCGGGACGCGGAAGACGCUUGCUGCCUGGCGGCCCUGUGCGCCGUCUGCCUGUGCUGUCUCCUUACAGAUUAGCCUAAUUAACAGAACAAUUAUACUCGAACCUUUUCCACGCGCUUGAUCUAUCGGUGCCUAACGUUCAGAUGUGUAAUAUCAGUGGGUAUAUCUGUAUAAAAAACGGAUCUCUUGGUGCAGUAAAAUGGUGUCCCGAAACACGGCCGGUCUGAAAUAAUCACUUGGUUCCAGGACCUUCCUUUUUUAUCGAUUUGUUUGUGAAAAAGAUGUCUUAACUCCUCGCAAACGAUAAUUUUAAUCAUUUUACACGUUGCUCGAAAGUAGAUUGGCUUUCAUUUUCUCAUUUACAGAAUCGAUUUCCUCUAUUCCUUGGUUUGCAUUGUAAAUUACAUCUUUAAAAAAGGGUGGGUGUACAUGUAAGAGCAAAUACUUUAACAGUUAACUGGUAAUAACUUCUUGGACCAAGACAACGUGCAGCCCACGCUAAUUGUACCCUCAGUCUGAAUUCACAAGUUACUUGUCAAUCAGUACUUUCCAAUUUCCCGACCAGGUAGUGAGUGUAUAAAACAGUUUACCUUUGUGCGAAAAUGGCUAUUUUACCCUAAACGAGCCGGCUGGGACUAUUUUGGCCCAUCUCAUAGCCCGGGAGGGGAUUCAGGCCCCCUGAGAACUCGGCUAUGCCUCACUCGAUUUUUUGGAAACUUAACAUGCAUGUAAAGACAGUCUUUAUCAUUAUAAGUGCAAAGUUUGAGCUCAAUCAGACGUAAGUCAUGUUCGCGUAGUGGUUCUUUCCUCACCUUCCACCUCUACGCUCUGGGUUCGAUUCCCAGUGUGGUCCACAUGUGGCUUCGGUUUUCAGUCCCUACUUGAGUCCGUGCACGGGUUUUAUCCAAGAACGUUCUUCUUGGGUUUUCUUCCCACCUCUAAAACUGUAACUGCUUCUCAUUGUCUCCUCUCUGCAGGUUUCGUCAGGCUUGUAAGCUUCAGUGCCUGGGGCGCUUUUGAAGCAUCUAAGGUUUUAUUACCAGAAAUAGAUAAAUAAUAUACGGUUUUGUUGAUGCGGUCAUUUGAAAUUCAAGUCUGCAUGCAUGGAACACAGCAGUGGAAAAAGUAUACAUUUUGGCUGAUCAGUCUCGGACAAAUGUGUGCUGUGCAACAAGGGUUUGGUGUCGAAAUUACCGCCAAGAGUUACUCUAAAACCCCCCAAAACUUAACUCCUGAAAAAAUGCACAGUGGCCAUAUUUGGAAAAAUGUUGAGCGGGCUCGGAUUCCGCCCCCGGCUUUUUUAGGGUCAACACACAGUUGUGUCUAGUCAUAGGUAUAGUGAUUAGUUAUUUUUUUGCCUAAAUGAAAGAUUUGUGUGUAAAUAAUUAGCAAUGGUGUAUCCAUGGUAACUGAAAAAAACUAAGUAAACGGUUUUUUUGUAGGCCCGGUGUUGACAGCAAAAUCAGAAUAAUGACAAGCGUGUAAAUGCCGUUUAAUCUCAUUAUGUAGCCAUAGACUGUUAAGGCAUGUUAUGAUUUAUUAAUUGCAUGAACCUCUAUGCCUGAGUUUGUGUUAAAAUUCAUGAUACUGCAAUCUGUUUUAUUCAGUGAACUGCAUAGCUAUUUUUUAAAAUAAAAAAUCGCAAAUAAAAGGAAAUUUAUUAUUUCUAUUACGUUAAUCCUCCUAUAUCCUUAUGAAAACGUUAUUUUCACAAUAGAAUGCCAGUCACAGCAGACUGAUAGGAAUUUUGGUAAAAUCCGAGUAUUUAAAUGCUAAAAAAAAAUAUAUAUACAUAUGUAAUUUUAUUCUUUACUGCAAUGUGUUAUGUAUAAAAUGUUAAAUAUCACAUCGUAACAUUCUUUUUACCUGUAAACCAAAUGGGGGAGACGGUGAUGGAUGUAGACCGCACAUACAGUGUGAAGCGUCUAAGCCCGAAAGAACAGAUUUAUUCGGGAAUGUCAACUUUCGGGAACAUAUUCGAAAAUCUUGCCUGCUUUGAGCAAGCUUAGGAUCGAUUUGGCAAGAGAUUGAUCCAACAUUUUAUGUCUUCUCUUAGAGAACAGACGAUUCUAAGGGUUUCACAUCGUCACUUCCAUUUUUUCAACCUACCGUGCACUUAUGGUGUCAGUAAGCCACUCAACUAAUUCAGUGCUUUGGUGUUUCUAAAUGUGGAAGGCUCUAGAUUCUUUGAGGUCAGUUUUUUGCUUCAUGGCAUCAAAGAUGAACUUUCAGAGACAGGAAAAAUACUAGAGCUAUCGUAAUUAAAAAAGAAGAAGAGAUUUUAAA